ACGUACGCUGGCGGCACGCCUAACACAUGCAAGUCGAACGAAGUAGCAAUACUUAGUGGCAGACGGGUGAGUAACAUGUAGGUAUCUGCCCUUUGGCCUGGAAUAACACGAGGAAACUUGUGCUAAUACCGGAUAAGUCUUUACGGAGAAAGCUUUAUGCACCAUUGGAUGAGCCUGCACUUGAUUAGUUUGUUGGUGGGGUAAUGGCCUACCAAGACUGUGAUCAAUAGCUGAUUUGAGAGGAUGAUCAGCCACAUUGGGACUGAGACACGGCCCAAACUCCUACGGGAGGCAGCAGUGGGGAAUCUUGCACAAUGGAGGAAACUCUGAUGCAGCGAUGCCGCGUGAGUGAAGAAGGCCUUUGGGUUGUAAAGCUCUUUCGUCGGGGAAGAAAAUGACUGUACCCGAAUAAGAAGGUCCGGCUAACUUCGUGCCAGCAGCCGCGGUAAUACGAAGGGACCUAGCGUAGUUCGGAAUUACUGGGCUUAAAGAGUUCGUAGGUGGUUGAAAAAGUUGGUGGUGAAAUCCCAGAGCUUAACUCUGGAACUGCCAUCAAAACUUUUCAGCUAGAGUAUGAUAGAGGAAAGCAGAAUUUCUAGUGUAGAGGUGAAAUUCGUAGAUAUUAGAAAGAAUACCAAUUGCGAAGGCAGCUUUCUGGAUCAUUACUGACACUGA
rnacentral:rRNA from 1 species